GUUUGCUCAUCUUGUGACGCUUCCUAACGUAUUUUAAAAAUAAAUUUAUUUCUGAGUUUGUUAAUUUUCAACGUCACGUGGACCACCCCCAUCCUGUUGCAUCGAAUUCUAAGAAUGAAUUUAGGCGAAAAAAUCUUGCCAGAUUUGCCUUGCAUCUCCCAAUUUUACACGGACGUCACGACAGAUACUGUUCAUGGUGUGGUGAAGUAAUUGCUGGCCAAAACGCCGAGAGAACAAUUGGAAAAACAGGGACCUGUCCAAACACUGCAUGCGGCCAUCUCGUGCCACUAAGGGCAGGAUUUAAUCCUGAAUCAGAAUGGGGUAGAUGUCCGUGUUGGGACGUUUUUGUUCAUAAAGCCCACUUUUUUUGUUGUCUCUGCCAGUGGAGAAAUGAAGAAGCGUUUGAGGAAAUUCGAAGAGCUACGGAGAGAGAAUUGAAAGGGAAGCUGGAAAAAGAAACGGAGGAGGUCAAAAGACUUAGAGGAUGUUGAGGGAAAUUCAGGGUCAUCAGGUAGCAUCUCAAUCUAGUAAUCAAGCUCCUUCAGGUGUAGAGCAGCCAGUCGGCAAUGCUGCCGUUGGAUUUGGGGAUAAUAUUGAAGCCCAGAGCGGUCAAGGUCAAGGACAUCAGGCUGAGUAACAGACG